UCAUUUCCGACCUUACUAUUAUCCUCUUCCGCUUCUCCUCCUCCCCCUCUCUUUCUUUUCCGAGAAAGAGAGUUUGUAUAGUCCGCAGUAUCGACCGAGUUCCUAGAUCUAAGAGGAAAGAAAAGAAGAGAAGCGAUUCGAAUUCGAAAUCAAAAUAUUUAAUUAAAAUUUUCAAUUUCUUCUGCGUCUUAUUUCUUUUACUUGAGAAGGCUGACAGAAGAGAGUGGGCACACAACAGCAACGGGUAUAAUGGUGUAUGCCCUUCUCGUUGCGUGCUCACUUCUCUUCUCGUCAUCCUCGUCCUCGCGGAAUUUCUUCUAAUUUUUUCUCUUAAUUGUUUCAUUACUAUUAUUAUAAUUUUUUGUAAUUUUUUAUUUUUUUUGGAAAACUUCUAGAUAGGUGUAGAAAAAAAAGAAAAAGGAAAAGAGAAAGAGAGAGAGAGAAGGGACACGCGUGCGCGCUCCCGAACUCUCUAUUAUCCUUAUCUUCUUAUCUCUUUGGUAUUUUCAUCUCCUUUUGCUUUUUCCAUGUCAUCGUUUUGAUCAGCAAGGGUGUCAGGCUUCUGGGGGUCUCGAGGGAGUUCUUUUUUCGAGGAGGAUGAUGUGCGGAGCACGGAAAUGGAAGGAGGGGCAAGCAAAGCAAAGCGAGGGGCGAAAAAAAACACAAACAAAUUAGGGCACGGAUGAGGAGAUGAGGGAUCGGAUCGAGGCGAGGCGAGGCGAGGCGACGGUACUCUGCAGGGUGUGCGGAACUAACUGAAUGCACUGUUCGACUAGUCUCUUCUUUGCUUAUUUUGUACCUACAACUCUUUCCCUAUUUAUCCUUUUAUGAUAUCCUUUUCUCCUCCUCCUUCUUCUUCUUCUUCUUGCUUUUCUCUCCAUUCUCUUUACUUCAUUUUCUUCAUUGAAGAUUUGAACAUCUUCAAGGAUCUUGUUUUGGAUGAGGAAGCCUAGUGAGAAAUGGAUUAGGAGAGGAGAGGAGGGCCUGAAACAGGCAGGAGAUUUGAUUUUAUCCUUGUCUUUUCCCAGAUCUGGGCUCUCUCCAGGGUAUGAUUCAGUUGAAGACCAUAUAUAGGAAAGGGCCCCUUAAUGCUUGUUCUGAUCAUCAUCCAUUGCAUGGGGUUCUUCACACCCGGUACAAGGGUAAGGCAAGGUUAAGAACUCGCGGUGAUUGAUGUGGCCAAUCUAGUCUUUGACAUGACAUCAUUACCUAUCUCAAUGUUGUUUGGUACGGUAAGUAUCAUUCCUUUCCGGCUCGGUGAUGCUGAUGAAGAUCAUUCUUGUCAGAAACCAAACUAGAAGCAUUUUACACCGGAAAAAGAAAAAGAGAGAGAAAAUAUAAACUUUUCAUGAUAUUUGUCAAAUUCUGCUAUAAUUUUCCUAUAAACUGCUGCUAAUUGGCUUGAAGGUUCAAAGAUUUCAGAGAAGUUAACAUAACUCCUGAUUCGAUGUUCCUUGCGAUUUAUUCGAUGCGUCGACGGCUGUUGUGCGCAGAAUUGUGUCCCAGUGUCAAUUGCAGAUUUAUCUUCUUCCUUUCUCUCUUCUCAGGUAUCGACUCGUUAAUUAAAUUGAGUCUUAUGUACUUAUUGUGAUUUAGGGAAUUGCCUUAGUUCCUACUCAAAAUCUAUUUAUGUUAUACCAAUCACUGCAUCAUCAAUGAGAUGUGUAUUAUGUUAAAUUUCUCCUUUUCACAUUCUCCAAAAGACACUGGCAAAAAAUUGAAAAGAGUAGCUAAAUCCCAAAUUUACUCUUCUAAAGAGGGGCACUCUCUCUUAAGAGGAGCUUUUAAAUGGGAGAGCAUAAGUGCUUUUAGGGGAUGUUGUGGGGAGUUGCACUGGAUUGGGGUUGAGGGAGGAGGGAAAAGUACUUUUGAUUUAUGAUUGUUAGUUAUUUACAACUGGGAAAAGUACUUUGAUUUAUGAUCAUUAGUGACUUUUAAAGUACCAAAUAUUUACACCUGGGAAAAGUACUUUGAUUUAUGAUUAUUAGUGACUUUUAAGUACCAAAGAUUUACACCUGGGAAAAGUACAUGUACGUUUUUUCUCCUUGUUGGUGUUCAACUGUAGAAAAAUACAUUGUAAAUGGGCCUCAAUAAACAAAAAAAAAAAAGAAAAGAAAAUAAAAACAAGGUCCACAUUGAA